GGGGAGGGUUCCUUCGAUCUGACGAUGGCAGGCCGGACUACGCAGUCCGGCCGCAGGUUCGAAUCCUGCAGCUCCUUCCCCA
rnacentral:tRNA from 2 species